AACGAACGCUGGCGGCGUGCCUAACACAUGCAAGUCGAACGUGAUCCGCCCUUCGGGGUGGUGAAAGUGGCGCACGGGUGAGUAACGCGUGGAUAAUCUGCCCGAGGAUUUGGGAUAACAUCUCGAAACGGCUGCUAAUACCGCAUGCGCCCUACGGGGGAAAGAUUUAUCGCCGAAGGAUUGGCCCGCGUCUGAUUAGCUAGUUGGUGAGGUAAUGGCUCACCAAGGCGACGAUCAGUAGCUGGUCUGAGAGGAUGAUCAGCCACACUGGGACUGAGACACGGCCCAGACUCCUACGGGAGGCAGCAGUGGGGAAUAUUGGACAAUGGGCGCAAGCCUGAUCCAGCCAUGCCGCGUGAGUGAUGAAGGCCCUAGGGUUGUAAAGCUCUUUCAGCGAGGAGGAUAAUGACGUUACUCGCAGAAGAAGCCCCGGCUAACUUCGUG
rnacentral:rRNA from 1 species